rnacentral:rRNA from 1 species
GAUCCUGCCGGACCCUACUGCUAUCGGGAUGGGACUAAGACAUGCUAGUCGUGCGCCUCCAAGCCAUGCUGGAAGCGCGGCGCACAGCUCAGUAGCACGUGGUUAACCUGCCCUUGGGACGGGAACAACCCCGGGAAACUGGGGCUAAUCCCUGAUAGGUGAAGAACUCUGGAAUGAGUCUUCACCCAAAAGACGCCUAGGCCACGCUUCUAGGCGCCGCCCAAGGAUGGGGCCGCGACCGAUCAGGUUGUUGGUGAGGUAACGGCCUACCAAGCCUUUUACCGGUACGGGCCGUGAGAGCGGGAGCCCGGAGAUGGGCACUGAGACAAGGGCCCAGGCCCUACGGGGGCGCAGCAGUCGCGAAAACUCCGCAAUACGCGAAGGCGUGACGGGGCUAUCCCGAGUGCCGUCCGCUGAGGAUGGCUUUUCCCUAGUGUAGAUAGCUGGGGGAAUAAGGAGAGGGCAAGUCUGGUGUCAGCCGCCGCGGUAAUACCAGCUCUCCGAGUGGUGGGGACGUUUAUUGGGCCUGAAGCAUCCGUAGCCAGCUGAGCAAGUCCCCAGUUAAAUCCAGCGAUUUAAUCGUUGGACUGCUGGGGAUACUGUCCGGCUAGGGGGUGGGAGAGGCCGACGGUAUUCCCGGGGUAGGGGUGAAAUCCUAUAAUCCCGGGAGGACCACCAGUGGCGAAGGCUGUUGGCUAGAACAUGCCCGACGGUGAGGGAUGAAAGCUGGGGGAGCGAACCGGAUUAGAUACCCGGGUAGUCCCAGCUGUAAACGAUGCAGGCUAGGUGUUAGGGCGGCCACGUGCCGCUCUAGUGCCGCAGGGAAGCUGUUAAGCCUGCCGCCUGGGGAGUACGGCCGCAAGGCUGAAACUUAAAGGAAUUGGCGGGA